rnacentral:lncRNA from 1 species
AAGGAAGAGUUCUACUACUUACAGACUAUUUGAAGACUGCUGCUCUCAUAGCUUGAUUAAUUUUUCCAUCAAGAGAAUGGCACUACAUAUUUUGUAGAGGCAAAAAUAAUACAGAAUUUGCCUAAUGGAAUGAAUCCUGGACAGGCUGAAGUGGAGGGCAAGUCUAUUGUUAUUCAUCCUAACAAUAGUAAUUGAUUGUGGGGGGGGGGGCUUCCCAUGAUAACCUUUUAAUUUUGCUAUGAAAAACU